rnacentral:rRNA from 1 species
UGAUCCUGGCUCAGAGCGAACGUGGCCAGUGUGUCUUAAGCAUGCAAGUCGAACGGCAGCAGCCCAUAUAGCAAUAUAUGUNGCUGGCGAGUGGCGAACUGGUGAGUAACGCGUAAGAAUCUACCCUCUGGUGGGGGAUAACUCAUGGAAACAUGAGCUAAUACCGCAUGAAGCCGAACCCAUAGUGAUAUGAGCUUGGUAAAAGGAGAAAUCCGCCAGUGGAUGAGCUUGCGUCCCAUUAGCUAGUUGGUAGGGUAAGAGCCUACCAAGGCGAUGAUGGGUAGCUGGCCUGAGAGGGUGGUCAGCCACACUGGGACUGAGAUACGGCCCAGACUCCUACGGGAGGCAGCAGCUAAGAAUCUUCCUCAAUGGGGGAAACCCUGAAGGAGCGACACUGCGUGCAGGAUGAAGGCCCUUUGGGUUGUAAACUGCUUUUGUAGGGGAGAAAUAACCGAAUGGGAUGAUAGUACCCUACGAAUAAGUCCCGGCUAACUACGUGCCAGCAGCCGCGGUAAAACGUAAGGGGCGAACGUUGCUCGGAAUUACUGGGCGUAAAGGGCCGGUAGGUGGCUUUGUAAGUCAGUUGUCAAAUACCCAUGCUCAACGUGGGAGAGGCGACUGAUACUGUAGAGCUUGAGUAGAGGAGGGGAUGACGGAAUACCCGGUGUAGGGGUGAAAUCUGUUGAUAUCGGGUAGAACACCGAUGGCGAAAGCGGUCAUCUAGCCUCAUACUGACACUCAACGGCGAAAGCCAGGGGAGCGAACGGGAUUAGAUACCCCGGUAGUCCUGGCCAUAAACGAUGCAUGCUAGGUAUUGGCACCGCGUUGGUGAUAGUACCGUAGCUUACGCGUUAAGCAUGCCGCCUGGGGAGUAUGCUCGCAAGAGUGAAACUCAAAGGAAUUGACGG